rnacentral:rRNA from 1 species
ACUGUAGAGAGUUUGAUCAUGGCUCAGGAUGAACGCUGGCGGCGUGCUUAACACAUGCAAGUCGAACGAUGAUGCCAGCUUGCUGGUGGAUUAGUGGCGAACGGGUGAGUAACACGUGAGUAACCUGCCCUUAACUCUGGGAUAAGCCUGGGAAACUGGGUCUAAUACCGGAUAUGACUGGUCAUCGCAUGGUGGUUGGUGGAAAGCUUUUUUGUGGUUUUGGAUGGACUCGCGGCCUAUCAGCUUGUUGGUGGGGUAAUGGCUUACCAAGGCGACGACGGGUAGCCGGCCUGAGAGGGUGACCGGCCACACUGGGACUGAGACACGGCCCAGACUCCUACGGGAGGCAGCAGUGGGGAAUAUUGCACAAUGGGCGCAAGCCUGAUGCAGCGACGCCGCGUGAGGGAUGACGGCCUUCGGGUUGUAAACCUCUUUCAGUAGGGAAGAAGCGUAAGUGACGGUACCUGCAGAAGAAGCGCCGGCUAACUACGUGCCAGCMGCCGCGGUAAUA